rnacentral:rRNA from 1 species
UACGUAGGGUGCAAGCGUUGUCCGGAAUUAUUGGGCGUAAAGAGCUUGUAGGCGGUUUGUCGCGUCUGCUGUGAAAUUUCGGGGCUCAACCCCGAACUUGCAGUGGGUACGGGCAGGCUCGAGUUCGGUAGGGGAGACUGGAAUUCCUGGUGUAGCGGUGGAAUGCGCAGAUAUCAGGAGGAACACCGGUGGCGAAGGCGGGUCUCUGGGCCGAUACUGACGCUGAGGAGCGAAAGCGUGGGGAGCGAACAGG